GCCCAGAUUGCGGAAUAGGUAGACGCGCUGGUCUCAAAAACCAGGAGGUUCACCCCUGUGGCGGUUCGACCCCGGCUCUGGGUA
rnacentral:tRNA from 1 species